rnacentral:rRNA from 1 species
UGCGAAAGGCAUUGCCAAGAAUGUUUACAUUAAUCAAGAACGAAAGUUAGAGGUUCGAAGGCGAUCAGAUACCGCCCUAGUUCUAACCAUAAACGAUGCCAGCCAGCGAUCCGGCUGUGUUCCUCAAAUGACACGCCGGGCAGCUUCCGGGAAACCAAAGCCUUUGGGUUCCGGGGGAAGUAUGGUUGCAAAGCUGAAACUUAAAGGAAUUGACGGAAGGGCACCACCAGGCAUGGAGCAUGCGGCUUAAUUUGACUCAACACGGGAAAACUUACCCGGCCCGGACGCAGGAAGGAUUGACAGAUUAAGAGCUCUUUCUUGAUUCUGCGGGUUGUGGUGCAUGGCCGUUCUUCGAUGGUGGAGCGAUUUGUCUGGUUAAUUCCGAUAACGAUCGAGACUCUAGCCUACUAAAUAGACGCCCCGGUCCUACACGCCGGGCGGUCUUCUUAGAGGGACAAGCGGCGUCUAGCCGCGCGAGACAGAGCAAUAACAGGUCUGUGAUGCCCUUAGAUGUCCGGGGCCGCACGCGCGCUACAUUGAAGGGGUCAGCGUGUGCUUUCCCGGCCUGACAAGGCUGGGUAACCCGUUGAACCUCCUUCGUGCUGGGGAUUGGCGUUUGUAACUGUCCGCCAUGAACGAGGAAUGCCCAGUAAGCGCGAGUCAUCAGCUCGCGUUGAUUACGUCCCUGCCCUUUGUCCACACCGCCCGUCGCUGUUACCGAUUGAAUGAUUUAGUGAGGUCUUCGGACUGGCUCCCGGGAUGGUCUUAGGAUCGUCUCGCGGGGCCGAAAAGAUGACCGAACUUGAUCAUUUAGAGGAAACAAAAGUCGUAACAAGGUUUUCGUAGGUGAACCUGCGGAAAGGAUCA